rnacentral:ncRNA from 22 species
CUUUGUCUCAGAAAUGUUGGUGUUAUCUGUUCCAUUUCGGCUUCGGAACAGGUAAUGAAAAGGGAAUCAGGUGUAAAUCCUGAACAGACCCGCUGCUGUAAGCUCCGCUUACGUGCUGAACAAAACACCUUUUGCCACUGAAUGAACACCCUGCUCCCAAAAGGAGAAGUCCGACGGACAGUAAGGGUGGUUUCGGGAAGGCGUUCAGACACGGGAGUAAGUCAGAAGACCUGCCAACAGGUUCAUUUUAGUU